rnacentral:rRNA from 1 species
CACGCCCUAAACGAUGCAGACUAGGUUGUGGGAGUUCUGACACUCUCGCGGCCGAAGCAAAAGUGCUAAGUCUGCCGCCUGGGGAGUACGGUCGCAAGGCUAAAACUCAAAUGAAUUGACGGGGGCUCACACAAGCGGUGGAGCAUGUGGAUUAAUUCGAAGCAACGCGCAGAACCUUACCUAGGUUUGACAUGUACGGAUGCUGCCCUGGAAACAGGACCAGUUGCCGCAAGGUGAAACGUACACAGGUGCUGCAUGGCUGUCGUCAGCUCGUGUCGUGAGAUGUCGGGUUAAGUCCUUUAACGAGCGAAACCCCUGUCGUUAGUUACCAUCGGGUCAUGCCGGGAACUCUAACGGGACUGCCGGUGUUAAACCG